UACGGAGGAUGCAAGCGUUAUCCGGAAUGAUUGGGCGUAAAGGGUCCGCAGGUGGCAGUGUAAGUCUGCUGUCAAAGAAUGAGGCUUAACCUCAUCAAGGCAGUGGAAACUACACAGCUAGAGUACGGUCGGGGUAGAAGGAAUUCCUGGUGUAGCGGUGAAAUGCGUAGAGAUCAGGAAGAACACCGGUGGCGAAAGCGUUCUGCUAGACCUGUACUGACACUGAGGGACGGAAGCUAGGGGAGCGAAUGGG
rnacentral:rRNA from 1 species